rnacentral:rRNA from 1 species
UACGUAGGGUGCGAGCGUUAAUCGGAAUUACUGGGCGUAAAGCGUGCGCAGGCGGUUCGCUGUGUCCGAUGUGAAAGCCCCGGGCUUAACCUGGGAAUGGCAUUGGAAACUGGCGGGCUUGAGUGCGGCAGAGGGGGGUGGAAUUCCGCGUGUAGCAGUGAAAUGCGUAGAGAUGCGGAGGAACACCGAUGGCGAAGGCGGCAUCCUGGACCAAUACUGACACUGAGGAGCGAAAGCCAGGGGAGCAAACGGG